rnacentral:rRNA from 1 species
AACGAACGCUGGCGGCAGGCUUAACACAUGCAAGUCGAACGAGACCUUCGGGUCUAGUGGCGCACGGGUGCGUAACGCGUGGGAAUCUGCCCUUUGCUUCGGAAUAACAGUUAGAAAUGACUGCUAAUACCGGAUGAUGUCUUCGGACCAAAGAUUUAUCGGCAAAGGAUGAGCCCGCGUAGGAUUAGGUAGUUGGUGGGGUAAAGGCCUACCAAGCCGACGAUCCUUAGCUGGUCUGAGAGGAUGAUCAGCCACACUGGGACUGAGACACGGCCCAGACUCCUACGGGAGGCAGCAGUGGGGAAUAUUGGACAAUGGGCGAAAGCCUGAUCCAGCAAUGCCGCGUGAGUGAUGAAGGCCUUAGGGUUGUAAAGCUCUUUUACCCGAGAUGAUAAUGACAGUAUCGGGAGAAAUAAGACUCCGGCUAACUCCGUGCCAGCAGCCGCGGUAAAGUGACUACUG